ACAGUUUAAAACGUAUAAAACUAUGUAUUUUUUUACGUUAACGUAUUAAAUGUUUCAGUCUUAAAUCAAAUUUAUUAGUACUUGCAACAUUUAAAUUCUCAUCAAACCCACCUCUCGAAAUUUUUUUUUUAUUUCUACGUGUUUUUCACUACCUAUAACGAUAUUACUUAUGCAAACACGAGAUUUAAAUUAGAACCAGAAAACGCGGAUACUGAAUAUUUGAAUAUAAUAUACUCAUUACUCGUAAAGUUUUAAAUAUUUGUAAAUUAUUCACUCCGAGUUUAGUACAUAAAAACACACCGAGGAUGAGUUUAGGU